UACGUAGGGGGCAAGCGUUGUCCGGAUUUAUUGGGCGUAAAGAGCGUGUAGGCGGCCAGGUAGGUCUGGUGUGAAAACUCGAGGCUUAACCUCGAGAUGUCAUCGGAAACCAUCUGGCUAGAGUCCGGAAGAGGAGUGUGGAAUUCCUGGUGUAGCGGUGAAAUGCGCAGAUAUCGGGAAGAACACCUAUGGCGAAGGCAGCACUCUGGGACGGUACUGACGCUGAGACGCGAAAGCGUGGGGAGCGAACAGG
rnacentral:rRNA from 1 species